GCAGGUAUAGCUCAGUGGUACAGUGCAUGUUUAGCAUGCAUGAGGUCCUGGGUUUAAUCCCCAGUACCUCCA
rnacentral:tRNA from 1 species